rnacentral:rRNA from 1 species
GCAGGAUUACCCGCUGAACUUAAGCAUAUCAAUAAGCGGAGGAAAAGAAACCAACAGGGAUUGCCCUAGUAACGGCGAGUGAAGCGGCAACAGCUCAAAUUUGAAAUCUGGCGUCUUUGGCGUCCGAGUUGUAAUUUGCAGAGGGCGCUUUGGCAUUGGCAGCGGUCCAAGUUCCUUGGAACAGGACGUCACAGAGGGUGAGAAUCCCGUACGUGGUCGCUAGCCUUUACCGUGUAAAGCCCCUUCGACGAGUCGAGUUGUUUGGGAAUGCAGCUCUAAAUGGGAGGUAAAUUUCUUCUAAAGCUAAAUACUGGCCAGAGACCGAUAGCGCACAAGUAGAGUGAUCGAAAGAUGAAAAGCACUUUGGAAAGAGAGUUAAAAAGCACGUGAAAUUGUUGAAAGGGAAGCGCUUGCAGCCAGACUUGCCUGUAGUUGCUCAUCCGGGUUUCUACCCGGUGCACUCUUCUACGGGCAGGCCAGCAUCAGUUUGGGCGGUUGGAUAAAGGUCUCUGUCAUGUACCUCCUUUCGGGGAGAUCUUAUAGGGGAGACGACAUGCAACCAGCCUGGACUGAGGUCCGCGCAUCUGCUAGGAUGCUGGCGUAAUGGCUGUAAGCGGCCCGUCUUGUAACACGGACCAAGGAGUCUAACAUACGUGCGAGUACUUUGGUGACAAACCAAUGUGCGCAAUGAAAGUAAAGGCUGGCUUCCGUCAGCUCAGGUGGGAUCCGUUUGGAGCACCAUCGACCGACCAUUAUGCCUUCGGGCUAAAGGUUUGAGUGUGAGCAUUUAUGUUGGGACCCGAAAGAUGGUGA